rnacentral:rRNA from 1 species
GACGAACGCUGGCGGCGUGCUUAACACAUGCAAGUCGAACGCUGAAGCUUGGUGCUUGCACUGGGUGGAUGAGUGGCGAACGGGUGAGUAAUACGUGAGUAACCUGCCCUUGACUCUGGGAUAAGCCUGGGAAACUGGGUCUAAUACUGGAUACGACAUGCCACUGCAUGGUGGUGUGUGGAAAGGGUUUUACUGGUUUUGGAUGGGCUCACGGCCUAUCAGCUUGUUGGUGGGGUAAUGGCCUACCAAGGCGACGACGGGUAGCCGGCCUGAGAGGGCGACCGGCCACACUGGGACUGAGACACGGCCCAGACUCCUACGGGAGGCAGCAGUGGGGAAUAUUGCACAAUGGGCGAAAGCCUGAUGCAGCGACGCCGCGUGAGGGAUGACGGCCUUCGGGUUGUAAACCUCUUUCAGCAGGGAAGAAGCGAAAGUGACGGUACCUGCAGAAGAAGCACCGGCUAACUACGUG